rnacentral:rRNA from 1 species
UCCUACGGGACGCAGCAGUGGGGAAUAUUGCACAAUGGGGGAAACCCUGAUGCAGCAACGCCGCGUGAGUGAAGAAGUAUUUCGGUAUGUAAAGCUCUAUCAGCAGGGAAGAAGAUGACGGUACCUGACCAAGAAGCCCCGGCUAACUACGUGCCAGCAGCCGCGGUAAUACGUAGGGGGCAAGCGUUAUCCGGAUUUACUGGGUGUAAAGGGGGCGCAGACGGCAAUGCAAGCCAGGAGUGAAAGCCCGGGGCCCAACCCCGGGACUGCUCUUGGAACUGCAUGGCUGGAGUACAGGAGGGGCA